CCUACGGGUGGCUGCAGUGAGGAAUAUUGGUCAAUGGGCGUAAGCCUGAACCAGCCAAGUCGCGUGAGGGAUGAAUGUUCUAUGGAUCGUAAACCUCUUUUAUAAGGGAAUAAAGUGCUGGACGUGUCCCGUUUUGUAUGUACCUUAUGAAUAAGGAUCGGCUAACUCCGUGCCAGCAGCCGCGGUAAUACGGAGGAUCCGAGCGUUAUCCGGAUUUAUUGGGUUUAAAGGGAGCGUAGUCGGCUUUUUAAGUCAGUGGUGAAAGUUUGUGGCUCAACCAUAGAAUUGCCGUUGAAACUGGCAGGCUUGAGUACGGUAGAGGCAGGCGGAAUGCGUGGUGUAGCGGUGAAAUGCUUAGAUAUCACGCAGAACCCCGAUUGCGAAGGCAGCCUGCCAAGCCAUGACUGACGCUGAUGCACGAAAGCGUGGGGAUCAAACAGGAUUAGAUACCCUAGUAGUC
rnacentral:rRNA from 1 species